rnacentral:rRNA from 1 species
CCUACGGGUGGCUGCAGUGGGGGAUAUUGGACAAUGGGGGAAACCCUGAUCUAGCGACGCCGCGUGAGUGAAGAAGUAUUUCGGUAUGUAAAGCUCUAUCAGCAGGGAAGAAAGAAAUGACGGUGCCUUAGCAUGAAGCCCCGGCUAACUACGGGCCAGCAGCCGCGGUAAUACGUAGGGGGCAAGCGUUAUCCGGAAUUACUGGGUUAAAGGGGAGAGUAGAGGGUAUGAAAAGCUUGAGGUGAAAGGCGGGAGCGAAACCCCGGGAAGGCUUAGAAACCGGGUAGCUUGAGUGCAGGAGAGGCACGCGGAAUUCCAAGUGGAGCGGUGAAAUGCGGAGAUAUUAGGAGGAACACCAGUGGCGAAGGCGGCCUGCUGGCCUGUAACUGACGUUGAGGCCCGAAAGCGUGGGGAGCAAACAGGAUUAGAUACCCCGGUAGUC